rnacentral:rRNA from 1 species
GAUGAACGCUGGCGGCGUGCCUAAUACAUGCAAGUCGAGCGAACAGACGAGGAGCUUGCUCCUCUGACGUUAGCGGCGGACGGGUGAGUAACACGUGGAUAACCUACCUAUAAGACUGGGAUAACUUCGGGAAACCGGAGCUAAUACCGGAUAAUAUAUUGAACCGCAUGGUUCAAUAGUGAAAGACGGUUUUGCUGUCACUUAUAGAUGGAUCCGCGCCGCAUUAGCUAGUUGGUAAGGUAACGGCUUACCAAGGCGACGAUGCGUAGCCGACCUGAGAGGGUGAGCGGCAGAAGUGGAAAUGAGACAGGGUCGGGAGUCGUCAUGGAGGCAGCAGGAGGGAAUUGUACGGAAUGGGCUAGAGCAGGACGGAGCAAUGACGAGUGAAGAAUGAAGGUAUACGGAUCGUAAAACUCGGUGAUGAGGAAAGAACAAAUGUGCAAGUAAAUAUGCACGGCUGGACGGUAGGUAAUCAGAAAGACAAGCCUAACUACGUG